rnacentral:misc_RNA from 1 species
GAUGAGAACGUAGCGAAAUGCGAUAAGUAAUGUGAAUUGCAGAAUUCAGUGAAUCAUCGAAUCUUUGAACGCACAUUGCGCCCGCCAGUAUUCUGGCGGGCAUGCCUGUUCGAGCGUCAUUUCAACCAUCAAGCCCCCGGCUUGUGUUGGGGACCUGCGGCUGCCGCAGGCCCUGAAAACCAGUGGCGGGCUCGCUAGUCACUCCGAGCGUAGUAAUACAUCUCGCUCAGGGCGUGCUGCGGGUUCCGGCCGUUAAAAAAGCCUUAUUUACCCAAGGUUGACCUCGGAUCAGGUAGGAAGACCCGCUGAACUUAAGCAUAUCAAUAAGCGGAGGA